rnacentral:rRNA from 1 species
AUUGAACGCUGGCGGCAGGCCUAACACAUGCAAGUCGAGCGGAUGAAGGGAGCUUGCUCCUGGAUUCAGCGGCGGACGGGUGAGUAAUGCCUAGGAAUCUGCCUGGUAGUGGGGGAUAACGUCCGGAAACGGGCGCUAAUACCGCAUACGUCCUGAGGGAGAAAGUGGGGGAUCUUCGGACCUCACGCUAUCAGAUGAGCCUAGGUCGGAUUAGCUAGUUGGUGGGUUAAAGGCCUACCAAGGCGACGAUCGGUAACUGGACUGGGAGGAUGAUCAGUCACACGGGAGCUGGGACACGGACCAGGCUCCUGCGAGAGGCAGCAGUGUGGAAUAUUGGACAACAGGGGAAAGUCUUAUCCAGCGAGGCCGCGCGUGUUAAGAAGGUCCUCGGAUUGUGAAGCACGUUAAGUGGGGAGAAAGGGCAGUAAGUUAAGACCAUGCUGUUGUGACGUUACCAGCAGAAGAAGCACCGGCUAACUACGUG